UACGAAGGGGGCUAGCGUUGCUCGGAAUUACUGGGCGUAAAGCGCACGUAGGCGGCUUGUUAAGUCAGGGGUGAAAUCCUGGAGCUCAACUCCAGAACUGCCUUUGAUACUGGCGAGCUUGAGUUCGGGAGAGGUGAGUGGAACUGCGAGUGUAGAGGUGAAAUUCGUAGAUAUUCGCAAGAACACCAGUGGCGAAGGCGGCUCACUGGCCCGAUACUGACGCUGAGGUGCGAAAG
rnacentral:rRNA from 1 species